ensembl:lincRNA
UUAUCCUAUUAAAUUCUUUAUCUUUCUGUGUGUCCUCAGUGGAGAUAUUUUUCCCUCCCUAUAGCUAAUCAGCUUCCUUCAAAUUGGAUUUCGUAGUGAUAUGGAUCUGUUCACAGUCUUAUGGAGGCUGAUGCUGGCAUUUGAAUGCAGUUCCUCGAGGCUUUCCGAUGAGCUAAGCAUUUUAAAAUAAAUCUUUGGUGGAAUGGAGUCAACGUCCCCACCUCAAAAGGAACCCAACAGGCAACUGGAUUCUGAUGUCAGAUUCCAACCAACUAACAAAGAUGAGAAAGGUGACCCAUAUGGUGGAGAAGGCUUACUGUGUGACAACUGCUUUGUCCUCAAGAGACAACUCUGCCUUUCCAUCAGAAUGCUUCUUUACACAAGACCCAAGGGUGUAGCCAAGAUGAGAAGUAUGUACGCAGGAGUGAAAGAAGUUGAUGUGUUCUACUGGGGAUCUGUCGGGUUUGAGGAGCCAAUGGGACAGUCAAGUAUACAUGAACAACAGACAACUGGAAGUGAGGAAUUGAGACACAGCUACAGCCAGAAUCCACUGGGGGAGUAGCGGUCAUUAAGGUCCUCAAAGAUGAGAUCAAAAAGAACACAUAGUUGUAUAUUUCAUCUAUCCUUACAAACAAAUUUCAAACAGGAGCCACAGAAAUUGCUUCUCCCUAAGCAGAACUUUUCUUCCAAGUGGAGAGCAGGUGAAUUUUACCAAAAUAAAUGGAUCUUCAAAUAAAAACAGAAUUAUUGGUCUUGCAGAAUUUGAAACAUCAUUCAUCUUAUUUUGUAUUUUGUUUUUUUUUAUUUCCUGUAA